rnacentral:rRNA from 1 species
CAGUAGCCACGGGAAUACGGAGGGGGCUAGCGUUGUUCGGAAUUACUGGGCGUAAAGCGCACGUAGGCGGCUUGGUAAGUUAGAGGUGAAAGCCUGGAGCUCAACUCCAGAAUUGCCUUUAAGACUGCCGAGCUAGCAGGUGAGAGAGGUAGGUGGAACUCCGAGUGUAGAGGUGAAAUUCGUAGAUAUUCGGAGGAACACCAGUGGCGAAGGCGGCUUACUGGCUCAUACUGGACGCUGAGGUGCGAAAGCGUGGGGAGCAAACAGGAUUAGAUACCCGAGUAGUCCCUGUCUCUUAUAA